CGUAGGGAUUCUGUACAGGUUUUUUGGUAUACGGGAGGAAUUUUGCACACACUGAGGGUUAGUUCGAAAUUUCAACAAUAGAUGGCUUUGUGAUUUCGAAUUUCACCAAUAGGUGGCUUUGAUUACUUUUUCGGCAAAAGGUGGUGGGUCGGUCGAAUGUUUCACAAUUUCACCAAUAGAUGGCGGCUUUGAUUAAAGCUCUGAUUUUUUCUGGGGUGGGUUUGAACUACGCGCUUAGAAGUUUUCCCCAUCUAUGCUACCGCUACCUAGUCGAGUCGAGUUCGAGCAUGUAUCUUGCUUGAAUCGGGUAAAACCAGUAAAUGUUAAAAGCAAAGCAAAUAGCUUUUGUUUAUAUCAUGGUUUAUAUAUACUGCCACUCCAGCCACCAGCCAACUUUACUCUCCAGCCAUUAACAUUUAACCAGAAAUACAGUGAAUCACAAGAAGAGUGGCUCACACCCUCACAGAAUUUGCAUUUCAGGAAAGUGUACUAAAUUUGAAAAACUACCCUACAUCAUCCAUCAAGGAGGAGAAAAAUUGGUCGUUAAAUAGGACAAAUCAAACACAGGCUACAACAGCUGGAUGAAUUUUAAGAGCAUGUGAGUGAACACAAGGUACUUUUGAGUUUUGAUGGUUAUGACUUUGUCUCACGAGUUACACAAAUCAGUAAUGAACUCCAACAGGCCUGGGAUUUAGAUCAAAGAGUCAAAGCCCUAAAAACUUUAAUUCAGUGCUCUAUUAUUCUGUUUAAAUCUCACCUCUUUGCUUUUUAUCUGAGCAAAUUUGUCCUCAUUAUUUACCCUCAUUUUCAUAAUUUUGGUCAAAUGGUUGUUUGAAGGCAUUGCUGAUAAAGAUAUCAGGCUUGUUGGUUUAGGAAAUUGGAUACAUCUACACUGGUUUCUCCCAGUAUUGGCAGUGAGAAAAUGUCUGGGAAACCACUGAGGGCAAGAUCAUCAACUGUAAAGGAAUGGAUUGGAUCAAGGCUUUGGCCAAUCAUCUAUGGUAUGUCAUUUCCCCGGUUGGGACUAUCACUUGCCUUGCUCGAGUACGAGGCCUCUUGUGGAAUAUCGUCAAAUCUAUGCCAAUGAGCCAUCUCCUUCCUAUUCAUCAACAUGUACUUCGUUGAGAGACUUGGAGAGUUGGAAAAUUGUAGCCUCUUCCGUUAUGCCAUUUUUGUCGCGAUGCAUUUGAAAUCGUCACCAUCUUUUGCGUUUGUCGCGUAGCGUUUGUGGAAGACAUCCUCGGCCGUCAUAUCGGACAAGAAAAAUACGA